UAGCGAUAGCUAAUUGCAAAUAUCGACUAUGUCGAAUAAAAUUCUAAGUAGAAUUAUGAUAAUGACAUUGUCUGCUUAUGUGUCUUGACCAAAUUACGUGCCAGCAGUCGCGGUAAUACGUAGAAGACUAGUGUUAUUCAUCUUUAGUAGGUUUAAAGGGUACCUAGACAGUAAAUCAAGCACUAAUUUACUAGAGUUACUUGUGAGGGGGUAUUAAAGUACUGCUGGUGUAGAGAUGAAAUUCUGUGAUACCUUUUUUUUAUGGCACAGGUAUAGGCGAAAGCAUCCCCUUAUGUGAUAACUGACGUUGAAGGACGAAGG
rnacentral:rRNA from 1 species